UACAUGAGUGGUAAGCGUUAUUCCCUAUGGUUGGGUGUAAAAUAUCCUAAGGAGUGGGCAUUCUUAUUUCUAACCCCACAUAUUAAUUGUUACUAAAAUCUAUAUCUUAGGUGUUUAUAGGGGUAAAAUCCCACGAGAAAUACUGGAGAUCUAAAAGUGGAGACAUAUAGAUAGGGUAAUGAAAUAACUUAAGGAUGAAAGUAUAGGUUGUGGCGAGGAUUAGAGACCCUCUUAAUCUAUACUGUAAAUUAUGGUUGCUAUUAGACAAAACAAGCUAACGUAAGAGCAAUCUACCUGGGGCCUAAAACCGCAAGGUUAAAACUUAAAGAAAUUGGCGGGACUCUUUCAAUGGUGGAGCAUGUGAUUUAAUGCGGUAAUCCUCGCAAAACAUUACUAGAGUGUAGGUAACAUCUGAAUUUUUAUGGUAAAUCUUAGUAGUUUCCUGCCGGUAUUGCAUGGCUGUCGUCAGUUCGUGCUGUAAAGUGUUGUGUUUAGUCACCAAAACGAACGCAAUCCUACUGCUUUAAAUUUAAAGUUAGCGAUCUAAGGCUGAAGUCAAGUCUUUAUGGUCUGCUUACUCUAGGCUACACACGUGCUACAUUGAUGGAAACAAUGGGUAACAAUAGUUAAUACUAGCGUGAAUCUCUAAAAACCAUCAAUACCGAUUAUUGUUUAUAGUCAACAAUAUGAAGUUGAAAUCAUUAGUAAUCAUAGUUUAGGAUGAUAUGGUGAAUAUAAAAAAAAGAGUUUGCACACACCGCCCAUCACGCUCAGAGAGUCAUGUUUAUUUAAAGAAGUCCAGCUAAAUAUCUCUUCAACCAGUAAAUAAGAGGAUUUCGCAAGGGGCUUUAUAGAAUUAAAUGUGGUAAUUGGAGUGAAG
rnacentral:rRNA from 1 species